UAACAAAAUUAAAAUACGUCUUUUUCUAGACGUGCAAUGAGAUGCCUUUUGCACUUCCUCACUCGUGCUUAUACACAGUGAAAGAAAUUUGUGGAUAUUUAGAGGAACACAAAGGCGUAGACAUUCUCAUAAACAGUCAUUUGCGAGAAUCGAAGCAGUGAACCCCGAGAACUCCCUCCUACUCUCUCUCCCUCCCUUCCACCUGAGAGCAGUCUCCUGGCUUGAGGCCGCCUGGGCGCCUGCCGAGCACACGUCUGGCAGAAAUAUCAGCCAUUCAAAUUUGCAGCUGAAAUUAAUUAGUGAUGAGGUGUGUCCUGUAUUGAAGUGCAAGGAGUGGAGUGCUGAGUUCCCUCCCUUCACCACGAUGGGUGCUGAACUAUGGAAAGGCUAGAGCAAGCUACAGUGCACAUCAAAAAGUGAGAACCUGUAGUGAAGGCGUGACGCUGGCCGUGUGAGUGCGAGCAAAGCAGGUGGAACAGGUGCACGCCACACGCACUGCGUGGCGGUAGCCUGGCGGCUUUUUUUGGUGUUUGUUUUAUUGAGAUGGGCGUGAGUUGAUGGGACGAGCAGUGCCCGAGCAGCCAGACAUGCUGAAGCUGAAACGGGAGUGAGCUUGGACGCCUGCUUGUGAAGGAACGGCUCUUGUGUGGUGCUGUUCACAUACUGAGUGGUCGAUCAGCUGA
rnacentral:lncRNA from 1 species